rnacentral:rRNA from 1 species
UGCCAGCAGCCGCGGUAAUACGGAGGGUGCAAGCGUUGUUCGGAAUUACUGAGCGUAAAGAGCAUGUAGGCGGAUGAAUUAGUCAGAGGUGAAAGCCCCGAGCUCAACUUGGGAACUGCCUUUGAUACUGUUUAUCUAGAGUCCGAGAGAGGUUAGUGGAAUUCCCAGUGUAGAGGUGAAAUUCGUAGAUAUUGGGAAGAACACCAGUGGCGAAGGCGGCUAACUGGCUCGGUACUGACGCUCAUGUGCGAAAGUGUGGGUAGCGAACAGGAUUAGAUA